rnacentral:rRNA from 1 species
UACGUAGGGGGCGAGCGUUGUCCGGAGUUACUGGGCGUAAAGCGCACGCAGGCGGUCUGUUAAGUUUGGAGUGACAGUUGGUGGCUUAACUGCCAAAGUGCUUCGAAAACUGACAGACUUGAGGGCUUCAGAGGGACACGGAAUUCCGGGUGGAGUGGUGAAAUGCGUAGAUAUCCGGAGGAAUACCAAAGGCGAAGGCAGUGUCCUGGCUGGCAACUGACGCUGAGGCGCGAAAGCUAGGGGAGCGAACAGG